CACGAACCGUCCAAACGAUAUUCGGAAUUAUUGGGCUUAAAGGGUGCGUAGGCGGUGCUCUAAGUCGGGUGUGAAAUCCCUAGGCUCAACCGAGGAACUGCGCCCGAUACUGGAGUGCUAGAGGGAGACAGGGGUGAGCGGAACUGAUGGUGGAGCGGUGAAAUGCGUUGAUAUCAUCAGGAACACCGGUGGCGAAAGCGGCUCACUGGGUCUCAUCUGACGCUGAGGCACGAAAGCCAGGGUAGCGAACGGG
rnacentral:rRNA from 1 species